CCCUUAGAUGUUCUGGGCCGCACGCGCGCUACACUGUUCGACGCAGCGAGUCUUAACCUUGACCGAAAGGUUUGGGUAAUCUUCAGCAAAGUCGAACGUGAUGGGGAUCGAUCAUUGCAAUUAUUGAUCGUGAACGAGGAAUUCCUAGUAAGUGCAAGUCAUCAGCUUGCGCUGAUUACGUCCCUGCCCCUUGUACACACCGCCCGUCGCUACUACCGAUUGAAUGGUUUAGUGAGAUCUCUGGAUUGACGCUGGCUAGGGGGCGACCCUUGGCCAGACUGCUCGAGAAACUGCUCAAACUUGAUCAUUUAGAGGAAGUAAAAGUCGUAACA
rnacentral:rRNA from 1 species